UUUCCGUAGGUGAACCUGCGGAAGGAUCAUUAUCAUGUAAUUCAGUCCCCUUGGCUGUGUUAUAUAUAUACCCACUCUGUGUACCUUCUCCUGUUGCUUCCGCUGGAUGUGUAAUUCGCCCGGCGGAAGGGUAAAAAUAACCUCUGAGUAUUGAUGAAAUCUCUGUCUGAACCGAAUAGAAAGAAAAAUGUUAAAACUUUCAGCAACGGAUCUCUUGGUUCUC
rnacentral:misc_RNA from 1 species